rnacentral:rRNA from 1 species
AUUGAACGCUGGCGGCAUGCCUUACACAUGCAAGUCGAACGGCAGCACGGGUGCUUGCACCUGGUGGCGAGUGGCGAACGGGUGAGUAAUACAUCGGAACGUACCUUAUCGUGGGGGAUAACGCAGCGAAAGCUGUGCUAAUACCGCAUACGCCCUGAGGGGGAAAGCGGGGGAUCGCACGACCUCGCGCGAUUAGAGCGGCCGAUGCCUGAUUAGCUAGUUGGUGGGGCAAAAGCCCACCAAGGCGACGAUCAGUAGCUGGUCUGAGAGGACGAUCAGACACACUGGGACUGAGACACGGCCCAGACUCCUACGGGAGGCAGCAGUGGGGAAUUUUGGACAAUGGGGGCAACCCUGAUCCAGCAAUGCCGCGUGAGUGAAGAAGGCCUUCGGGUUGUAAAGCUCUUUUGUCAGGGAAGAGACACCGGCUCUAACACAGUCCGGGAAUGACGGUACCUGAAGAAUAAGCACCGGCUAACUACGUGCCAGCAGCCGCCGUAA